rnacentral:lncRNA from 1 species
GAAAUGAGCUUCUAAUCAUUCCAUGGUGGUGGAAACUCAUUCAUGAUUAUGGACAAGGUAUUCUGAUCCUUCUUGUUGUCUCUGCUAAUUCUAUUACACUGGCCUAAUGCCUUGAACUUGUUUCAGAGCCCAAGGGAUUGUCAUAGACAGAGAAGAGUGAGCGAAAAUAAGAUAAAUGGAGAAGAAAACCUUGUGAAGCUUCGAAAGUUGAGUUUUUCCAAUUGGUUUUGAUUAGCUUAAAUCUCAAUCGUAUUCUUUAUGAAGUUAAAUGCAGGGCUGCUUAUCC